UCGACGACGAGACGACGACUUAGCUUGCCCGUCGCCGCCGCGUGCAUCACACGGUCGUUCCCGCCGGUCGGUCGUCCUCGUCUGUCUGCUCGUUGCCGCCGUUCGUUCACGUGCGAUUUUGCGUCUUUCGGCAAUUUUCCGUUCACGGCAUUGUCGUUCGUUUCGUUUAAUUUUUUCGUCCAUCUAUCRUUCUCUUAUUCCUGCCCUCCGGCCGUCGUCGACCGAGUGCGUUUUGGCCGCGUUUUCGCGGUUUUUCUAUUUUUGUUACCGACACUAACGAUAUCGGAUACCUGUACCAAGGUUUAUACCUGGUACGAGUUCGAUCACAGCGCGCCGAUCGCGACAAACACGCGUAAUCGCGGCUGUCGGUGUUAUUAUCGUGUUUGUCGUCGCCCAAUAUCACUCGCAGUGCACACGACCUGUUUAAACAUAAACCCGACCCAACUUGUGAUCGGUCGCGUGUGACGUUUUGUCUCUCUAGACGUGUGGACGCAAAUUYCGRAAGGAAACUAAUCAAAAACCUAAGAAAAAUAAGUUCGAUUCUCACGUGCGUGCACACUCGGAGACUCAGACCGUUCGAUGUCAUAGUAUUAUAAUUCGGUGACCGUCAUCGUCUCAUCUAUAUACUAUUAUUAUAUUCGUGCCCAGAAAGCUUGAGGUCUGAAGUACUUUAAUGGCUUCGAUGAAAACCUCUCGACUAAGAGAACUUCUGUAAUUGUUCAAGACCUAAUUUAAGAUUAUGAUACUGUGCACCUGUAUAGCAAUUCCAUUUUCUCAAAAUCUACUUAAGUGAGUUUCAUGGGCAUUAACCUUGAGAAUAAUGGGUGAACACAGAAGACAACAGUAAAAAUAUAUAUUGUAUGGUGUURUUAACGUAUACCAAAUUUCAACAUUUAGGUGAACAAUAAACGUUUAUUCAGGUUGUUUCAAGUGGAUUUUUAAAUCGUACAGUUUAAAUCAAUCAACAAGUUGUUGUUGUCGUUAAAACGAAGAAGGAACCAACACGGUAAGUCAAAAC